UACUGAGGGUGCGAGCGUUGUUCGGAAUUACUGGGCGUAAAGCGUGCGCAGGCGGUUGUGCAAGACAGAUGUGAAAUCCCCGGGCUUAACCUGGGAAUUGCAUUUGUGACUGCACGGCUAGAGUGUGUCAGAGGGGGGUAGAAUUCCACGUGUAGCAGUGAAAUGCGUAGAUAUGUGGAGGAAUACCGAUGGCGAAGGCAGCCCCCUGGGAUAACACUGACGCUCAUGCACGAAGGCGUGGGGAGCAAACAGG
rnacentral:rRNA from 1 species